GAUGAACGCUGGCGGCGUGCCUAAUACAUGCAAGUAGAACGCUGAAGCUUGGUGCUUGCACCGAGCGGAUGAGUUGCGAACGGGUGAGUGACGCGUAGGUAACCUGCCUCUUAGCGGGGGAUAACUAUUGGAAACGAUAGCUAAUACCGCAUAAAAGUCGAUAUCGCAUGAUAUUGAUUUGAAAGGUGCAAAUGCAUCACUAAGAGAUGGACCUGCGUUGUAUUAGCUAGUUGGUGAGGUAACGGCUCACCAAGGCGACGAUACAUAGCCGACCUGAGAGGGUGAUCGGCCACACUGGGACUGAGACACGGCCCAGACUCCUACGGGAGGCAGCAGUAGGGAAUCUUCGGCAAUGGGGGCAACCCUGACCGAGCAACGCCGCGUGAGUGAAGAAGGUUUUCGGAUCGUAAAGCUCUGUUGUAAGAGAAGAACGAGUGUGAGAGUGGAAAGUUCACACUGUGACGGUAACUUACCAGAAAGGGACGGCUAACUACGUG
rnacentral:rRNA from 1 species